rnacentral:rRNA from 1 species
AGCUCUAAUAGCGUAUAUUAAAGUUGUUGCAGUUAAAACGCUCGUAGUUGUAGUUCUGCUGUAUAAAGCACAAUACUGUACGUCAGUUGCGUGUUUUUGUCAGCAUUUUACUGCCUUUACUGUAGCUUUAUGGCUGCGUGAAAGGCGGGAAUUUACUUUGAAUAAACUAGAGUGUUUCAAGCAGGCAAGUCGCCUUGAAUACCUCAGCAUGGAAUAAUAAGAAAAGACUACGGUUCUUCUUGUUGGUUUAAGUACCUAAGUAAUGAUUGAUAGGGACAGUUGGGGGCAUUCGUAUUUAGAAGUUAGAGGUGAAAUUCUUAGAUCUUCUAAAGACGAACUACUGCGAAAGCAUCUGCCAAGAAUGUUUUCA